AAUGAACGUUGGCGGCGUGGAUUAGGCAUGCAAGUCGUGCGAUAACCGUAGCAAUACGGCGAAAGCGGCGAAAGGGAGAGUAAUGCGUGGAUACCUACCCCCAGGUCCAGGAUAGCCGCGGGAAACUGCGGGUAAUACUGGAUGACGUCUCCGGACCAAAGGUGUGAUUCCGCCCGGGGAUGGGUCCGCGUCCUAUUAGCUUGUUGGCAGGGUAAUGGCCUACCAAAGCAAAGAUGGGUACGGGGUGUGAGAGCAUGCCCCCGCUCACUGGGACUGAGACACUGCCCAGACACCUACGGGUGGCUGCAGUCGGGGAUCUUCGGCAAUGGGCGCAAGCCUGACCGAGCGACGCCGCGUGCGGGAUGAAGGCCUUCGGGUUGUAAACCGCUGUCAGAGGGGAGGAAAUGCCGGUGGGUUCUCCCAUCGGUUUGACCUAUCCUCAGAGGAAGGACGGGCUAAGUUCGUGCCAGCCGCCGCCGUAA
rnacentral:rRNA from 1 species